GACGGAGGGAGCUAGCGUUGUUCGGAAUGACUGGGCGUAAAGGGCGCGUAGGCGGUUUUUUAAGUGAGGCGUGAAAGCCCUGGGCUUAACCCAGGAGGUGCGUUUCAUACUGGAAGACUUGAGUGCGAGAGAGGAAAGUGGAAUUCCUAGUGUAGAGGUGAAAUUCGUAGAUAUUAGGAAGAACACCUGUGGCGAAGGCGGCUUUCUGGCUCGCAACUGACGCUGAGGCGCGAAAGCGUGGGGAGCAAACAGGAUUAGAUACCCUGGUAGUCCACGCUGUAAACGAUGUGUGCUAGACGUUGGAGGGAAACCUUCAGUGUCGCAGUUAACGCGUUAAGCACACCGCCUGGGGAGUACGGUCGCAAGAUUAAA
rnacentral:rRNA from 1 species